GACGAACGCUGGCGGCGUGCCUAAUACAUGCAAGUAGGACGCACAGUUUAUACCGUAGCUUGCUACACCAUAGACUGUGAGUUGCGAACGGGUGAGUAACGCGUAGGUAACCUGCCUAUUAGAGGGGGAUAACUAUUGGAAACGAUAGUUAAUACCGCAUAACAGUAUGUAACACAUGUUAGAUGCUUGAAAGAUGCAAUUGCAUCGCUAGUAGAUGGACCUGCGUUGUAUUAGCUAGUAGGUAGGGUAAAGGCCUACCUAGGCAACGAUACAUAGCCGACCUGAGAGGGUGAUCGGCCACACUGGGACUGAGACACGGCCCAGACUCCUACGGGAGGCAGCAGUAGGGAAUCUUCGGCAAUGGGGGGAACCCUGACCGAGCAACGCCGCGUGAGUGAAGAAGGUUUUCGGAUCGUAAAGCUCUGUUGUUAAGGAAGAACGAGUGUGAGAAUGGAAAGUUCAUACUGUGACUU
rnacentral:rRNA from 1 species